rnacentral:rRNA from 1 species
AGGACGAACGCUGGCGGCGUGCUUAACACAUGCAAGUCGAGCGGUAAGGCUCCUUCGGGAGUACACGAGCGGCGAACGGGUGAGUAACACGUGAGCAAUCUGCCCUCCACACUGGGAUAACCUUCGGAAACGAGGACUAAUACCGGAUACGACCACUUCAGACAUCUGAUGGUGGUGGAAAGCUCCGGCGGUGGAGGAUGAGCUCGCGGCCUAUCAGCUUGUUGGUGAGGUAACGGCUCACCAAGGCUUCGACGGGUA